rnacentral:tRNA from 2 species
GCGGGUGUCGUCUAAUGGUAGGGCCUCAGCUUCCCAAGCUGAUGACGCGGGUUCAAUUCCCGUCACCCGCUCCA